rnacentral:lncRNA from 1 species
AUGAGGUUUCCAAGAAAAUUAUUCAAAUUACGUGUCAGUGCACAGAAAUUGAUGACUAAUUCCAUCAAAGCAUUGAUGAGGCCCAGUUCUAACAGUCUGUUCGUAUCUACUCCAUGAGUGACACAUCUGGAGAUUUUCCACUGCCUGAAAGCUGCCUCGCGCCUAACCAUGUUUUUCUAUGGGUCUCGUGUGAAGAAGAAUCUCCAUUGGGUGAACGAGUUGACAGCGUUGCAUGAG